GAUGAACGCUAGCGGCAGGCCUAACACAUGCAAGCCGAGGGGUAGCAGGAUUAAGCUUGCUUAAUUGCUGACGACCGGCGCACGGGUGCGUAACGCGUAUGCAACCUACCUUAUACUGGGGUAUAGCCCGGAGAAAUUCGGAUUAAUCCCCCAUAGUACUAAUGAAUCGCAUGGUUUAUUAGUUAAAGCAUUGCGGUAUAAGAUGGGCAUGCGUCCUAUUAGCUAGAUGGUGAGGUAACGGCUCACCAUGGCUACGAUAGGUAGGGGGCCUGAGAGGGUGGUCCCCCACACUGGUACUGAGACACGGACCAGACUCCUACGGGAGGCAGCAGUGAGGAAUAUUGGUCAAUGGGCGCAAGCCUGAACCAGCCGUGCCGCGUGCAGGAAGAAUGCCCUAUGGGUUGUAAACUGCUUUUAUUUGGGAAUAAACCUCUUUACGUGUAGAGAGCUGAAGGUACCAAAUGAAUAAGCACCGGCUAACUCCGUGCCAGCAGCCGCGGUAA
rnacentral:rRNA from 1 species